rnacentral:lncRNA from 1 species
ACCACUCGUGAGCCUUGGUGAGGCUCGAAUUCCUGAUUUCUUAAGCAAGUUAUCCUUGAGGUAAAAAUUAUUCACUUAACUUUUCUACUAUUUACAUUCUAUUUUUAAUCUAUCAUAACUUACUCAUAGUAACUUGGAAUUACAUGAUUUUUAUGUCGUUGGAAAUAUAAAAAAUAUAUAUCUAUCUAAAAAAUAUAAUUUUUACUUUUUUUUUGAUGAAAAUCUACUGAACAGACUGUAACUUAGUUUUGGGUGUUGUGAUUACUUGAUUUCAUUUCUUUCACUUGUAUUUUGGUUGUUCUUCUUGGUUUUUGCCAAUUGCUUACUUCACUUCACACCACCAAUUACUAGAAACUCUUAAUUGAGGCCAUCUUCUAAUUAGAAUUGACAAGUAAAAUUUAGACUCACAUAAAUGAUGUAUUUGCUGGGAGAUGGUGCUUCUAAUGGUGUGUAAGAAUGUGAAGUUAGCUUUUGGUGAAUGAUCUUGCUUGGACUUAUUGUGUGAGCAUUGCAACUUAGUCUUCAUUAUUUUUAAUUUUUCUACCUCUCUCCUCAUUGGUGUAAACAAGGCCUUCAAAUUUUUAAAAAUCAAAAGAUAGUUAAAAGUUUUGUUGUUGAGUAGAAUGUUGAUUUGCUCUCGGAUUUUUGUCAAUCCGUUUUUGGUUAGUUUAUAGUUAAAGUUGAAACUUUGGUAGUGUAUGUAUCUUGCUGUUAGCUUUCUAAAAAGUUAUUAUACGCUCAAUUUGGAGCUAUAACGAAUUUGUGGUGAAUUUUCGAACACAAGAGGAUUCACUGCCUUGGCAGUUUUGUGUACCCUGUCUCUCACAAGGCAUUUCUAAGUGCCGGAUAAAUAUUUUAUAGUGAAAAUUUCUGAGUACAAGCACCUCAAAGUUGAGUUUUCAGUGGUGCAAAAUCCAAUUCUUUUGAAUCAAAAUUUAAUUUGUGGCGAUUAUUGGAGUGGAGGGAGGUUGCUGCCUUGAGCAAAUACAAUUGAGGUUAGUGAUUUCUAUCUUUUCAAUCAUUUACAUUGUUGAUCUUUUGUUAUGCUUUUAAUUUUUUUUUUUAAAUUCUCUCAACUUUGUUAAAUUAUAAUCAUAAUAAUAAUAAAUAAAUAAAAAUAGAAAAUAAAUAAAAAUAUAAAUAAAUAAAUAAAUAAAUAAG